AGAUUGAACGCUGGCGGCAUGCCUUACACAUGCAAGUCGAACGGCAGCACGGGGGCAACCCUGGUGGCGAGUGGCGAACGGGUGAGUAAUACAUCGGAACGUGUCCUGUAGUGGGGGAUAGCCCGGCGAAAGCCGGAUUAAUACCGCAUACGACCUAAGGGAGAAAGCGGGGGAUCUUCGGACCUCGCGCUAUAGGGGCGGCCGAUGGCAGAUUAGCUAGUUGGUGGGUAAAGGCCUACCAAGGCGACGAUCUGUAGCUGGUCUGAGAGGACGACCAGCCACACUGGGACUGAGACACGGCCCAGACUCCUACGGGAGGCAGCAGUGGGGAAUUUUGGACAAUGGGGGAAACCCUGAUCCAGCAAUGCCGCGUGUGUGAAGAAGGCCUUAGGGUUGUAAAGCUCUUUCGCCCGCGACGAUGAUGACGGUAGCGGGAGAAGAAGCCCGGCUAACUUCGUGCCAGCAGCCGC
rnacentral:rRNA from 1 species